GUUAAAACUCCGAGUUUCCGUGUCCACUGUCCGUUUUAUAUGAAUUUUUUUUAUAAUUAGUAUUUUUAUUGUUGUUAGAUGAUAAAACAUAAUUAGUACUUUAUGCGUGACUUAUCUUUUUAAUUUUUUUCAUAAUUUUUUUAAAUAAGACGAACGGUCAAAUAUUAGACAUGUAAACC
rnacentral:pre_miRNA from 1 species